UGGGGGAUAUUGCACAAUGGGGGGGAACCCGUGAUGCAGCAACGCCGCGUGGGUGAAGAAGCGCCUCGGCGCGUAAAGCCCUGUCAGCAGGGAAGAAAAUGACGGUACCUGAAGAAGAAGCCCCGGCUAACUACGUGCC
rnacentral:rRNA from 1 species